GACGAACGCUGGCGGCGUGCUUAACACAUGCAAGUCGAACGGAAAGGCCCUGCUUUUGUGGGGUGCUCGAGUGGCGAACGGGUGAGUAACACGUGAGUAACCUGCCCUUGACUUUGGGAUAACUUCAGGAAACUGGGGCUAAUACCGGAUAGGAGCUCCUGCUGCAUGGAGGGGGGUGGAAAGUUUCGGCGGUUGGGGAUGGACUCGCGGCUGAUCAGCUUGUUGGUGGGGUAGUGGCUUACCAAGGCUUUGAAGGGUAGCCGGCCUGAGAGGGUGAACGGCCACAUGGGGACUGAGAUAGGGACCAGACUCGAACGGGAGGCAGUAGUGGGGAGUAUGGCACAGUGGGCGGAAGCCUGAAGCAGCAACGCCGCGUGCGGGAUGACGGCCUUCGGGUUGUAAACCGCUUUCGCCUGUGACGAAGCGUGAGUGACGGUAAUGGGUAAAGAAGCACCGGCUAACUACGUG
rnacentral:rRNA from 1 species